rnacentral:rRNA from 1 species
UACGGAGGGAGCUAGCGUUGUUCGGAAUUACUGGGCGUAAAGCGCACGUAGGCGGCUUUGUAAGUUAGAGGUGAAAGCCCGGAGCUCAACUCCGGAACUGCCUUUAAGACUGCAUCGCUUGAAUCCAGGAGAGGUGAGUGGAAUUCCGAGUGUAGAGGUGAAAUUCGUAGAUAUUCGGAAGAACACCAGUGGCGAAGGCGGCUCACUGGACUGGUAUUGACGCUGAGG